GCGGCAGGCUUAACACAUGCAAGUCGAGCGGAAACGGUGGGAGCUUGCUCCCAGGCGUCGAGCGGCGGACGGGUGAGUAACACUUAGGAAUCUACCUAGUAGUGGGGGAUAGCUCGGGGAAACUCGAAUUAAUACCGCAUACGUCCUACGGGAGAAAGGGGGCAACUUGUUGCUCUCGCUAUUAGAUGAGCCUAAGUCGGAUUAGCUAGUUGGUGGGGUAAAGGCCUACCAAGGCGACGAUCUGUAGCUGGUCUGAGAGGAUGAUCAGCCACACCGGGACUGAGACACGGCCCGGACUCCUACGGGAGGCAGCAGUGGGGAAUAUUGGACAAUGGGGGCAACCCUGAUCCAGCCAUGCCGCGUGUGUGAAGAAGGCCUUUUGGUUGUAAAGCACUUUAAGCAGUGAAGAAGACCUAACGGUUAAUACCCGUUAGCGAUGACAUUAGCUGCAGAAUAAGCACCGGCUAACUCUGUGCCAGCAGCCGCGGUAAUACAGAGGGUGCAAGCGUUAAUCGGAAUUACUGGGCGUAAAGCGAGCGUAGGUGGCUUGAUAAGUCAGAUGUGAACUCCCCGGGCUUAACCUGGGAACUGCAUCUGAUACUGUCAGGCUAGAAUAGGUGAGAGGAAGGUAGAAUUCCAGGUGUAGCGGUGAAAUGCGUAGAGAUCUGGAGGAAUACCGAUGGCGAAGGCAGCCUUCUGGCAUCAUAUUGACACUGAGGUUCGAAAGCGUGGGUAGCAAACAGGAUUAGAUACCCUGGUAGUCCACGCCGUACAACGAUGUCUACUA
rnacentral:rRNA from 1 species